rnacentral:rRNA from 1 species
CAAGUCGAACGCGAAAGCACCUCACGGGUGCAAUUAGAGUGGCGAAAGGGCGAGUAAUGCGCUCCUACGUACCCCCAGGUCAGGGAUAGCCCAGGGAAACCCGGAUUAAUACCUGAUGUGGUCUCCGGAUCAAAGGCUUCGGUCGCCCGGGGAGCGGGGAACGUCCUAUCAGGUUGUUGGCGAGGUAAAGGCUCACCAAGCCUUAGACGGGUAGCGGGUGUGAGAGCAUGACCCGCCGCAUCGGGACUGAGACACUGCCCGGACUCCUACGGGAGGCUGCAGUAACGAAUCUUCCGCAAUGCGCGAAAGCGUGACGGAGCAAUGCCGCGUGCAGGAUGAAGCUUUUCGGAGUGUAAACUGCUGUCAGGGUUUAGCAACACAAUGAGCGGACCCAAAGGAAGGGCCGGCUAACUUCGUGCCAGCAGCCGCGGUAAUACGAAGGGCCCGAGCGUUGCGCGGAAUCACUGGGCUUAAAGCGUACGCAGGCGGGCGCGCAGGCGUUUUGUGAAAGCCCUCGGCUCAACCGAGGAAUUGCUUGACGAACCGCGCGUCUUGAGGCAAGUAGGGGCUGUCGGAACGAUAGGUGUGGAGUGGUGAAA